rnacentral:rRNA from 1 species
GCUCACAAUGAACGCUGGCGGCGUGCUUAACACAUGCAAGUCGAACGAGAAAUCUUUAGCUUGCUAGAGAAAGUAAAGUGGCGCACGGGUGAGUAACGCGUGGGUAAUCUGCCUCCGAAUCGGGGAUAACAUUGCGAAAGCGAUGCUAAUACCGGAUAAAAUCUGGUUGGCUUCGGUGAACCGGAUCAAAGGUGGUCUCUUUAUAAAAGCUACCGUUUGGAGAUGAGCUCGCGUACCAUUAGCUAGUUGGUGAGGUAAAGGCUCACCAAGGCGACGAUGGUUAGCUGGUCUGAGAGGAUGAUCAGCCACACCGGAACUGGAACACGGUCCGGACUCCUACGGGAGGCAGCAGUGAGGAAUUUUGCGCAAUGGGGGAAACCCUGACGCAGCAACGCCGCGUGAGUGAUGAAGGCUUUCGGGUCGUAAAGCUCUGUCGGGUGGGAAGAACCCACCAAGUGUUAAGACCACUUGGUGCUGACGGUACCACCGAAGGAAGCACCGGCUAACUCCGUGCCAGCAGCCGCGGUAAUACGGGGGGUGCGAGCGUUAUUCGGAAUCAUUGGGCGUAAAGGGCGCGCAGGCGGUUUUGUAAGUCAGAUGUGAAAUCCCGGGGCUUAACCCCGGAAGUGCAUAUGAAACUAUGAGACUUGAGUAUGGGAGAGGGAAGCGGAAUUCCUGGUGUAGCGGUGAAAUGCGUAGAUAUCAGGAGGAACACCGGUGGCGAAGGCGGCUUCCUGGACCAAUACUGACGCUGAGGCGCGAAGGCCGUGGGGAGCGAACAGGAUUAGAUACCCUGGUAGUCCA